rnacentral:rRNA from 1 species
CCUACGGGAGGCAGCAGUGAGGAAUAUUGGUCAAUGGCCGGAAGGCUGAACCAGCCAAGCCGCGUGAAGGACGAAGGUGCCAAGCAUUGUAAACUUCUUUUGUCAAGGGACAAAAUCAGGCUCGAGAGCCUGACCGAGGGUACUUGAAGAAAAAGCAUCGGCCAACUCCGUGCCAGCAGCCGCGGUAAUACGGAGGAUGCGAGCGUUAUCCGGAUUUAUUGGGUUUAAAGGGUGCGUAGGGGGACUGUUAAGUCAGCGGUAAAAGCCCGGGGCUCAACCCCGGCGAGCCGUUGAAACUGGCUGGCUUGAGAGGGCGAGAGGUAUGCGGAAUGCGCAGUGUAGCGGUGAAAUGCUUAGAUAUUGCGCAGAACUCCGAUUGCGAAGGCAGCAUACCGGCGGCGAUCUGACGCUGAGGCACGAAAGCGUGGGUAUCGAACAGGAUUAGAUACCCCAGUAGUC